GACGAACGCUGGCGGCGUGCUUAACACAUGCAAGUCGAACGAAGUGGCGAACGGGUGAGUAACGCGUAAUCAACCUGCACAUCAGAGGGGGACAACAGUUGGAAACGACUGCUAAUACCGCAUACUGAAGGAGGGGAUUGCGUCUGAUUAGCUAGUUGGAGGGGUAACGACCCACCAAGGCGAUGAUCAGUAGCCGGUCCGGGAGGAGGAACGUGCACAUUGGGCCUUGGACAAGGCCCAGACUCCUUCGGGAGGCAGCAGUUGGGAAUCUUCCGCAAUGGACGAAAGUCUGACGGGGCAACGCCGCGUGGGUGAUUACGGCCUUCGGGUUGUAAAGCUCUGUUAAUCGGGACGCGGUACCGGAAUAGAAAGCCACGGCUAACUACGUGCCAGCAGCCGCGGUAAUAC
rnacentral:rRNA from 1 species